CAAACAUGAUGAUACCAGAGAAUGGUUUCGCUAACUUGACUGAUGUCAUGUGAUGUUACACUUCUCUUGGCUGUCUGAUUUA
rnacentral:snoRNA from 8 species